UACGGAGGGUGCAAGCGUUAUCCGGAUUCACUGGGUUUAAAGGGUGCGUAGGUGGGUUGGUAAGUCAGUGGUGAAAUCUCCAGGCUUAACUUGGAAACUGCCAUUGAUACUAUCAAUCUUGAAUACCGUGGAGGUCAGCGGAAUAUGUCAUGUAGCGGUGAAAUGCUUAGAUAUGACAUAGAACACCAAUUGCGAAGGCAGCUGGCUACGCGGAUAUUGACACUGAUGCACGAAAGCGUGGG
rnacentral:rRNA from 1 species